GAUGAACGCUGGCGGCGUGCCUAAUACAUGCAAGUCGAGCGAACAGACGAGGAGCUUGUUCCUCUGACGUUAGCGGCGGACGGGUGAGUAACACGUGGAUAACCUACCUAUAAGACUGGGAUAACUUCGGGAAACCGGAGCUAAUACCGGAUAAUAUAUUGAACCGCAUGGUUCAAUAGUGAAAGACGGUUUUGCUGUCACUUAUAGAUGGAUCCGCGCCGCAUUAGAUGGUUGGUAAGGUAACGGCCUACCAAGGCAACGAUGCGUAGCCGACCUGAGAGGGUGGUCGGCCACCAUGGAAGUGAGACACGGUCCAGACUCCUGCGGGAGGCAGCAGUAGGGAAUCUUACGCAGUGGGGGAAAACCUGACGGAGCAACGCGGCGUGAGUGAUGAAGGUGUUCGGAUCGGAAAACUCUGUUAUUAGGGGAGAACAAAUGUGUAAGUAACUAUGCACGUCUUGACGGUACCUGAUCAGAAAGCCACGGCUAACUACGUG
rnacentral:rRNA from 1 species